AGAACGAACGCUGGCGGCAUGCCUAAUACAUGCAAGUCGAACGAACUCUUCGGAGUUAGUGGCGCACGGGUGCGUAACGCGUGGGAAUCUGCCCUUGGGUUCGGAAUAACAGUUGGAAACGACUGCUAAUACCGGAUGAUGACGAAAGUCCAAAGAUUUAUCGCCCAGGGAUGAGCCCGCGUAGGAUUGGCUAGUUGGUGAGGUAAAGGCUCACCAAGGCGACGAUCCUUAGCUGGUCUGAGAGGAUGAUCAGCCACACUGGGACUGAGACACGGCCCAGACUCCUACGGGAGGCAGCAGUAGGGAAUAUGGACAAUGGGCAAAGCCUGAUCCAGCAAUGCCGCGUGAGUGAUGAAGCCUUAGGUUGUAAAGCUCUUUACCCGAGAUGAUAAUGACAGUAUCGGGAGAACAAGCCCCGGACUAACCGUCCGUAGCCCAAGCCAGCCCGC
rnacentral:rRNA from 1 species